GGAAACUCCUAUUGUGAUCUUAAGGGCUGUAACCCAGAGAAUCUGGUUCUUCCUGGAGUAUUUCAGCAGGGAUCAGCUUAAAUAGGUCUACUUGAAGUUCACAACUGCCAAAACCGCGUGUUCAGACUGAAAGGCUGGGAGCAUUUCAGACGCAUUUAUGAACUUCCACCAAGAUGAUCCGGCAGGCUGAAAUCGCAGGGAGAGCGUCUGUUCAACAAACCCUUUCUUCUUGAUUGAAUUAGUGUUACCCACUAACAGGAUGAGGAAUUCCCACUCCACAAGCUGACUUUUUUUCCUCUUUCCACCUCCCGCCUCCCUCCAUUAAAAUGUAAACUUGAUUCCUGUGUCCUUUGCCGGAGCCUGGCUUCCCUGUAAGCCCAUCAUAAACAUCUUGGUAGAAAUGCAA
rnacentral:lncRNA from 1 species